UACGUAGGGUGCGAGCGUUGUCCGGAAUUAUUGGGCGUAAAGGGCUCGUAGGCGGUUUGUCGCGUCGGGAGUGAAAACCAGGUGCUUAACACCUGGCUUGCUUUCGAUACGGGCAGACUAGAGGUAUUCAGGGGAGAACGGAAUUCCUGGUGUAGCGGUGAAAUGCGCAGAUAUCAGGAGGAACACCGGUGGCGAAGGCGGUUCUCUGGGAAUGACCUGACGCCGAGGAGCAAAAGUGUGGGGAGCGAACAGG
rnacentral:rRNA from 1 species